UUGGGGCAAGAUUAGUAGUUCAAUCAUUGAACUGAAUUGAAGUAUAAUGUCAUAAUUAUAUUUUAAAUAUAUUAAUAAUUAUGCAUAAUAAAAUAUAUCUAUUAAAUUACAAAAUGUAUACUUUCAUAAUCAAUUUAUAUUUAUUUCAAGAUUUGGAUUGCUUUUACCCCAUGGUCAUGUAAAAUGUGUUUCUAUGUUCCCAAGUAAUAGACCUCUGGAUUGCUUUUACGAGGUAUCGUGUGUACACAUUUAAAAUCAAAAUUUAUUUUGCGUUUAAUUUGUUGAGUCUCUGCCCAACUUCUGGGGUUUAUACUGCCACAAAAUGGUCAUUUUAUUUGCUAUGUAGUCACAUAAAUGCAGUCAGUGUUUCAAUUCCACAAUUUGUAACAUAUUAAUUCAGGUCUCAAAAUGGUCAAUGUAUACCCUGGAUUUGAACUGAUUCUUCAUAUAAGGGCUGGUAGCAGGAUUUUGAUGCUUUCUACAACUAAUAUACGCCGUUCCGGGCUCUGUGGUUGUCUGGUGAUGUUUUAAUUACUAAGAGUAUUCUUAUAUACUUUUCCCAUUGUUUCUGAUGCAGGAACCAUAAAUCUGUAAUGGUUAUCAGACGUAAUCAGGUUGUUGGUGGCAUAACAUACCGUCCUUAUGUGAGCCAAAUGUUUGGGGAGAUAGCAUUUUGUGCAAUCACAGCAGAUGAACAAGUAAAAGGUUAUGGCACGAGACUGAUGAAUCACUUAAAGCAGCAUGCUCGUGACGUUGACAGGCUAACUCAUUUUCUGACUUACGCUGACAAUAAUGCCGUUGGUUAUUUCAUUAAACAGGAUUGGUCCUUUUUGUUCCCUUUUGGAUUGUGGUUUUCAUGUAUAUGGGGAUUUCACUUGUUCAGUUCACGAUCAAUUUGAGAGGCACAAAAAAGUUGUUUUAUAAGAUUUUGUUUGUAUAUUCUCAUUGUAAAGAUGGUAAGAUUAACCCUGCAUGAAAUUUGCUCUGUUAAAAAGAUGAGAGGGAGUGUCUAUCUACAAACUACUAGGAAGCCUGCCUUCGAAAGUAAUUUGUGAAUCCAAAGCAUCACUGUCAGUUGACUGGGUUGGGCUAUUAGAUUGUCAUAACUUUUUAACUAUUCCAUCCAUGUUCAAAUUGGACUCAGAUCAAUUUUUCUUCUCUUUGGUUUACUUAUCAAAAAAAAAAAACUAUUCUCUUGGGUUAAAUGCUAGUCAGAAGGUUUAGAAUGGCUGUGAAGUAGCACCUACUGCACUGUUAAAAGGAGAGGGUUUAAGUAAUGAAGUAUAUUUCGGCAUCUACUGAACUUGUGAUUGAGGUGAGAGUGUCUGGUUCAAGUUGAUGUUCUGCAUGAUUGGAGAUAUCUUGUGGGGUAAAAUACUUGUCUUAUUGUGCUUUUUGGCUUUUGCUUUGGAAUCUAAUUUGGAUUCAUAAGAUUCCAUUCUUUUUUUGGCCCUGUAUGAAUCCAACUUUCUUUCCUUCUUGAGAAUCCAAAUGGGAGUUUGUUGGGUUAAAGUUUUUUUGGCAUGAACAUCGACUCAGGAUGCCUCCCUUUUAUUGAUGCUUUACUGUUAAAAGGAAGAAGCACGGAGGGAGCAAAGAAGCAAGAAAAAAAAAUUCCCCCCUACAAUGUGAGUUAGAAGAAUAAUUCCUUAUGUGGUUUUGUCAUUUGUGAAUAGAAGCAUACUGAUGUCCUGCAUUAAUAUCCGUGGGCAACAACUAACUGCUAGGAAAGUGGGUCACUCUUCUCAGUUUUAAUAGUUAUGUAUUAUUUGUUUGCUAGCCUUAUUUGGUCGAGAAUUUUUUAUGUACACAGUCCUGAAUAGAGGAUUUCAUUUAAAUAAUGUAUCUACUUUGUGUAUCAAUUUGUAGGGCUUUACGAAAGAGAUUCACUUAGAGAAAGAACGGUGGCAUGGGUAUGUUUUUCACAAAAUUAAGGUUGAUGUUGAAAUUGUUGAGUUUGUUUUUGCAUGAAGUAACUUUGGUAAGCCUUAAUUAGAUGUAUUAAGCUUUUGAAUAAAACGUAAUGCUUUCACUCUUGAAACAAAGUGGAAAAUGUUGAUGCCCUAUGAAGCACGGACACCUCUUCAGCAGCAACGUAUGGGUGUCCGACACGUGUCGGACACGGACAUGCGAUGGACGCGUGUCGGACACUCUUUAACGCUUCUAGAAUUUUUUUUUUUUUCCAAUCGGACACUUUGCGGACACACUCAGAGACACUUGAGGGACAUUGCGAGUGGAGAGAGAGAGAGAGAGAGAGAGGGAGAAGAAGUCGCUCACUUGUAAACCCUAGGUGAAGUUGUCGAAGCUUUUGAAUGUCCCUAUUGAAGCAAUCGCAGAUUCGCAGAUUUGAAAACAAUGUUGAAGCGAGUGGAGUCGGAGCAAUAUUAUGUAGCUUUUGAGAUGUUUGUUGCUGAUGUCAAGAGGAUGUUUGGUAAUGCACGCACUUACAACUCUCCUGAAACGAUCUAUUAUAAAUGCGCAAGCAG